rnacentral:tRNA from 7 species
GCGCUCGUAUCUCAACGGAUAGAGUCCCGCCCUGCGAAGGCGGUUAUACAGGUUCGAUUCCUGUCGAGCGCACCA